GAGGAACUUAAAUCACAAGCUGGGAGUGGGAUGCCCAAAAAGAAGAGAAGUAAGAGAUCAGUAAGCAACAGAAAUGGUCCCAAUAAUGAGACAAGGGAGAAAUAUCCCCCUCUUGAGAAUAAGGCUGGAGACACCAUUGGAGUUUCACACAUUGAAAAGAAUGAAAAGAAGCUGUUGUUAACCUUUGCUGAUGUUGUUGAUGGUCGUGUAGAUGGGCGCAGGAUUGGUAAAUUACUUGUUUCUAACAAAGAAAUUGCUAUAGGGAG
rnacentral:misc_RNA from 1 species